CCCUUAGAUGUUCGGGGCCGCACGCGCGCUACACUGGCGGAAUCAGCGGGUAUUUCUCCCUUGGCCGGAAGGUCUGGGUAAUCCACUGAACCUCCUCCGUGAUGGGGAUAGGGAAUUGCAAUUAUUUCCCUUGAACGAGGAAUUCCCAGUAAGCGCGAGUCAUCAGCUCGCGUUGAUUACGUCCCUGCCCUUUGUACACACCGCCCGUCGCUACUACCGAUUGAAUGGUUUAGUGAGAUCCUCGGAUCGGCGGCGUCGGGACGGCCCUGCCGUACCGUUCUGCAUUGUCCGAGAAGACGAUCAAACUUGAUCAUUUAGAGGAAGUAAAAGUCGUAACA
rnacentral:rRNA from 1 species